AAUUCUCAUGGGUCUACAUAAUAAAGUUGUUAAACCAAACCUAGUGGCUGGACAAACUUUGUCUGGAUUUGUGAUAAACAAAGUAUUUUCUUUCAAGGUGUUGUACCUUAGACCAAACAAAACACUUCUUCAGUCUCCUGAUGAUAUCAUUGAGAAGUGUAUAAACACCUCCGACAAUGAAACAGAACACAAUGAAGGCAAACAUUGUAUUUAUGAAGAUUCUCACUAUGAAAUGGAACACAGUGAUUUUGAAAAGCAACUCCAAGAAACAUCUGUUUUCCAAAUGACAAACCAUCCAGUGCAUCAAUAUUUUGGAAGUGACCGAAGAUGAUGACAUAGAAGGGCCCAUUGUCUUCAGUGACAACUCUAAUGAUUCAUCGGGUGAUCGGCAUUCUUCAAAAUUUGGCUGAUGUAAUUAUUGAAGAAGAAAGCAGCAUUUUUAACAUUAACAGAUCUUCACUGUGGGAGGGAGCAGU